GAGAAGCAGGAUUACCUUUUUUUGCUGCUAACGGUACUGAUUUUGUUGAGAUGUUUGUUGGUGUGGCUGCUUCACGUGUGAAGGAUCUCUUUUCCAGUGCCAGGUCAUUUGCUCCUUCUAUUAUUUUCAUUGACGAGAUAGACGCAAUUGGCAGCAAACGUGGUGGACCAGAUAUUGGUGGGGGUGGUGCAGAGAGGGAACAAGGGCUUCUUCAGAUACUGACAGAAAUGGAUGGAUUUAAAGUGUCAACAUCACAGGUCUUAGUUAUUG
rnacentral:misc_RNA from 1 species